rnacentral:rRNA from 1 species
CCAACAGGGAUUGCCUCAGUAACGGCGAGUGAAGCGGCAACAGCUCAAAUUUAAAAUCCGGCUUCUUGGGCCUGAGUUGUAAUUUACAGAGAGGAUUUCGGAGACGGGGACGGUUUAAGUUCUUUGGAACAGGACGUCAUAGAGGGUGAGAAUCCCGUAUGUGACCGGUUCCCCUACCCCACGUGAAACCUCUUCAACGAGUCGAGUUGUUUGGGAAUGCAGCUCAAAAUGGGUGGUAAAUUUCAUCUAAAGCUAAAUACCGGCCAGAGACCGAUAGCGCACAAGUAGAGUGAUCGAAAGAUGAAAAGCACUUUGGAAAGAGAGUCAAAAAGUACGUGAAAUUGUUGAAAGGGAAGCGCUUGCGACCAGACCUGCCCGCGGGUGAUCAGCCCCCCUUCGGGGUGGUGUACUCGUCCGCGAUCAGGCCAGCAUCGGUUCAGGCGGUCAGAUAAAGGCCCCGGGAAGGUUACUCGCUGCGGGGAGUGUUAUAGCCCGGGGCGCAAUGCGGCCAGCCGGGACCGAGGACCGCGCUCCGGCUAGGAUGCUGGCGUAAUGGUCGUAAGCGGCCCGUCUUGAAACACGGACCAAGGAGUCUAACAUCUAUGCGAGUGUUUGGGCGUCAAACCCACGCGCGGAAUGAAAGUGAAUGGAGGUGGGAGCCCAUGCGGUGCACCAUCGACCGAUCCAGAUGUCUUCGGAUGGAUUUGAGUAGGAGCAUAGCUGUUGGGACCCGAAAGAUGGUGAACUAUGCCUGAAUAGGGUGAAGCCAGAGGAAACUCUGGUGGAGGCUCGCAGCGGUUCUGACGUGCAAAUCGAUCGUCAAAUUUGGGUAUAGGGGCGAAAGACUAAUCGAACCAUCUAGUAGCUGGUUCCAGCCGAAGUUUCCCUCAGGAUAGCAGUAACGUUUUCAGUUUUAUGAGGUAAAGCGAAUGAUUAGAGGCCUUGGGGUUGAAACAACCUUAACCUAUUCUCAAACUUUAAAUAUGUAAGAAGUCCUUGUUGCUUCGUUGAACGUGGACAUUUGAAUGCACCGUUACUAGUGGGCCAUUUUUGGUAAGCAGAACUGGCGAUGCGGGAUGAACCGAACGUGAGGUUAAGGUGCCGGAAUGUACGCUCAUCAGACACCACAAAAGGUGUUAGUUCAUCUAGACAGCCGGACGGUGGCCAUGGAAGUCGGAAUCCGCCAAGGAGUGUGUAGCGGUUGUUGCACGCCAAAACUCAAACGUUAGCCGGGCACCCGGUGCCCGGUGACGGCUCCAUAUUGCCAGCAUAGCCCCUGGGAGCCCGGGGGGACCACCGGCAGUGGGGGUUUCGGCCCCCAUCCACAGACUAGACGGAGCUGACCGCGGGCUCGACCCCGGUCAAGAUAUAGUCGUUGCGGGCCCCGGGAGGGUGCCUGGAGCAAGAACAACUCACCGGCCGAAUGAACUAGCCCUGAAAAUGGAUGGCGCUCAAGCGUGCUACCCAUACCUCACCGCCGGGGCAGAAACGAUGCCUCGGCGAGUAGGCUGGCGUGGGGGUCCGUGACGAAGCCUUGGGAGUGAUCCCGGGUCAAACGGCCUCCAGU